rnacentral:lncRNA from 1 species
AUGAUGAGCCGGGCCACCCCCGACCAGGAGCGAGCGCCGGCGUCCGAGCCCGUGUGGGAGCGUCCCUGGUCGGUGGAGGAGAUCCGCAGGAGCAGCCAGAGCUGGUCGCUGGCGGCCGACGCGGGCCUACUACAGUUUCUGCAGGAAUUUUCACAGCAGACUAUCUCUAGGACUCAUGAAAUCAAGAAACAAGUGGACGGACUAAUCCGGGAGACUAAAGCCACCGACUGCCGCCUACACAAUGUCUUCAAUGACUUCCUUAUGCUCUCUAAUACCCAGUUCAUUGAAAACCGUGUAUAUGAUGAGGAGGUGGAGGAGCCGGUGCUCAAGACUGAGGCAGAAAAACCAGAACAGGAAAAGACCCGGGAACAGAAAGAAGUGGAUCUGAUUCCUAAAGUCCAGGAGGCUGUGAACUACGGUUUGCAGGUGUUGGACAGUGCAUUUGAGCAACUAGACAUAAAAGCAGGAAGCUCAGACUCUGAAGAGGAUGAUGCUAAUGAGCGGAUGGAAUUGAUCCUUGAGCCAAAGGACCUGUACAUUGACCGCCCUUUACCUUAUUUAAUUGGGUCAAAGCUGUUCAUGGAGCAGGAAGAUGUAGGCCUGGGAGAGCUUUCUAGUGAAGAAGGUUCAGUGGGCAGUGAUCGUGGGAGUAUUGCAGACAGUGAGGAAGAGAACGAAGAAGAGGAGUCAGAUGAAGAUUUUGCCAAUCACAGUGACAGUGAUCAAAACCGGCACACGGCACAGAUGAGUGACGAAGAGGAGGACGAUGGUUGCGACCUUUUUGCUGACUCUGAGAAGGAGGAGGAGGAUGCUGAAGACGUUGACGAGCGUUCUAGACCCAAAAGAAGCAGGCCUACGUCAUUCGCUGAUGAACUGGCAGCUCGGAUCAAAGGGGACGCCUCAAGCCGGAUGGAAGAGGAGCGCGCAAAUGAAGAAGAUAACUUAUUCGCACCCCCGAAGCUGACAGAUGAAGACUUCUCGCCGUUUGGUUCUAGAGGCGGCCUGUUCAGUGGAGGGAAGGGACUUUUUGAUGAUGAGGAUGAGGAGAGUGACCUCUUCACAGAAGCCCCUCGGGAUCGGGGAGCUCGAACCCCUGUUAAUGAAGCAUCUUCAUCCUCUAAACCUGGAAAGAAAAUCCCGGCAGGAGCUGUUUCUGUGUUUUUAGGGGAUACUGACAUGUUCGGUGGCGCCUCUUCCCCGGCACUGAAGGAGCCCCAGAAGCACGAGCAGCCCCCUCCAGGGAAAAGCGCGCACGUCCCAGCAUCUGCUGGCCUCUUUGAUGAUGACGACGACGACGACGACUUUUUCGCGGCAUCCCGUAGCAAACCUCCCAAGACAGACAGAGUCAGACCCACUGCCAGCAUCUUCGACGAUGAAGGAGAUCUGUUCGAAGAAAAAGCAGUGGCUUUGCCAGAAGCGACUGUGAACCAGACAGACGAAGAUAAAGCAAGAGCAGAAACAAAGGUUAUGCUACCUUCCAGCAAAAAUCUCAAGCUUUCAUCGGAAACAAAGACUCACAAAGGCUUAUUUUCAGAUGAGGAGGACUCUGAGGAUUUGUUUUCUUCUCAAAGUGUGAGUAAGCCAAAAGAUGCAACUCUGCUGCCUGGCAAACCCCCCAGCUCAGUCUUGCUUUUCGAUGAUGAAGAUGGACAGGAUAAUCUUUUUGAUACUCCAGCUGCUAAGAAGCAGACAUCGGCUCUACUGACUCAGAGCCAAAAGAAAGCAAAGCCCUCUGAGCCUCCCAAAAAGAAAGCAUCUGCCUUACUGUUCAGCAGUGAUGAGGAGGACCAGUGGCAUAUUACUGACUCACAGACCAACUUGACAUCUGACAAGUCUAAAGGAGAUCUUAGGGACCCUGAGACCACCCACCAGGAGGUUAAGGCCUUGAAGAAGACCAGCCUCUUUGAGGAGGAUGACGAGGAUGACCUAUUUGCUGUUGCCAAGGACAGCCAGAAGAAGGCCCAGAGAGCAUCACUGCUGUUUGAGGACGACGGUGGCAGCGGAAGCUCCCUGCUCGGCUCUCCGCCCGCACCUGCCGCUCCCGCAGCCACGGAAGGAUCUUUGAAUGCACCUACUCAGGAAACAGCCAAGAACUCUGAUUUGUUUUCUUCGUCGUCCCCAUUGGACAAAGGACCUAAAAGUAGAACCAAAACGGUUCUUAGCUUAUUUGAUGAGGAAGAGGAUAAAACAGAAGAUCAAAGCAGCUUCCAGGCUCUGAAAAAGGAAGCAGGAAAGAGUCCUGAUCCUGGUACCCGCCCCAAGAGCACAGGUGUCUUUCAGGAUGAAGAGCUCCUUUUUAGUCACAAGCUCCAAAAGGACAACGACCCAGAUGUUGACCUUUUCUCUGGCACCAAAAAAUCCAGGUUGUUCGAGCCCAGUGUGGGGAGCCUGUUCGGAGACGACGAAGACGAUGAUCUCUUCGGCUCUGCCAAGUCACAGCCUUCGAUCCCAGGAAAGAAGAAGGUAGUGAAAAAAGACAACUCUGUCUUUUCCUCUGUCAAGAACCAGAAGCAUCCUGAAUCCACUCAGGGUAUCAAAGAAAAAGACACAUGGAAAUCGGAAACAUCUCAGGCAAAUUUAGCGAUCAACCCAGCAGCCUUGCUGCCUCCAGCAGCUCCCCAGAUCUCUGGAAUGAAGUCUGUUUUGCCAGAAUCUGGUGUUCCUUCGUCUGAACCUGGAAGGAUGCAGAGUCUGGAAAGUGUGCCCACUCCUGGGAGUGGGGAGGCUGGUGUGAGUUUUGACCUUCCCGCUCAGGCAGAUACCUUACACUGUGCAAACAAGACCCGGGUCAAAGUGAGAGGGAAGCGCAGACCACAGACACGUGCCGCCCGGCAGCUGGCUGCCCAGGAGUCCACCGAGGCCGAGGAUAUGGGUUCCCCCACGGGAUUUGUGGCACAGUUGACAGAUGGCACCACAUCACCAGGUGGUCGUCAGCCACCGCUGAGGGCAGUUGGUGGAGCAGACACCCCUGAAGAAGCAGUGGCAGCUGCCACUCCAACGUGGGCAGGUGGUCCUGUGCCUGGAAUGAACAGUGGCCCGUUUGCGAAAUCUGUGGGUCAGCCUCUUGAGGAUGAUCUGUUUGAUUCUGCAGAUAUCUUUUCCAAGGGCAUUGCAUCUCAGUCCUCAGGAAGAAGAAAAACCAAAGCGAAGGCAGCCGGCAGCCUGGCCAACCUGGGGGAGGGAAGUAAAGACAGACGCCCCAUGUUCCCUGCUCUCGGUGAGGCGGGCAGUGAUGAUGAUCUCUUUCAGUCUGCUAAACCAAAACCAGCAAAGAAGACAAAUCCUUUCCCUCUCCUGGAAGAUGAGGACGAUCUGUUUACAGACCAGAGAGGCACAAAGAAUGGGUCAAAAUCCAACAGUCAACAGGAUAUUAUCUCAAAAGCACAAGAUAUAUUUGAGGAUGAUAUAUUUGCUACAGAAGCAAUUAAACCCUCACAGAAAACAAGAGAGAAGGAAAGAACAUUUGACUCCAACUUAUUCGAUGAUAACAUUGAUAUCUUUGCUGACCUAACUGUAAAACCAAAAGAAAAGUCUAAAAAGAAAGUGGAAGCUAAGUCUAUAUUUGACGAUGAUACAGAUGACAUCUUCUCCUCUGGUAUCCAGACUAAGACAACCAAAUCAAAAAGUGGAUCUUCACAGACAGUGACUGAAUCAAGAUCUGGACAGAAGGUUUCCAACAUAUUUGAUGACCCCUUGAAUGCCUUUGGAGGCCAGUAGAGUGUCCAGGGUAUCUUUCAGCUACAUCCUUGGGUCAAUGAUGCUGUCUUCUGUGCUCCUUAACUGAAUUAUAGAAAACGAACACUGAAACAGCUUACUCGCCUCUUACCCAGCAUACUUAAUAUUUUUCUGUACUGGUUUUAAAAUCAUGCUUAAUUCUGCAAACAAAAAUAAAUGUCUCACAGUGUUACUAU